CCAAUAUAUAGUACGCGGAAGCCGAGAACUACAAAGUUCCCGCGCGGUACUUAUAUUCCAGGAGGAGCCGUGAAGGUUCUUCAAAACUGGAAAAGACUUGUGCGAGUUGCAACAUCAACAAAGCGAUGGCUUGGAAAUGACUGCUUCUGUAUGGACUCAGAUCACGUUGCUGAUUUUCCACCCCGAAAUGUCGUCCGCACGGUAUCGUGCAAAAUGUACAGUAAAUUUGGGAAAUUCAACAGCGCAAUGGUGAAACUUACUGCACAAAUUAUGUUCGAGCUUGACGUCGAAGAUGGCGUCACAUGUAUUUCACCUAAGAAGAUACAAAUCCGGUGCUGUAUAUUUUCACAAAAUUUUGGCUGUUGGAAAAGCUUAAUGCAAUUCUGCUACGA
rnacentral:lncRNA from 1 species